GACGAACGCUGGCGGCGUGCCUAAUACAUGCCAGUAGAACGCUGAAGGAGGAGCUUGCUUCUCUGGAUGAGUUGCGAACGGGUGAGUAACGCGUAGGUAACCUGCCUGGUAGCGGGGGAUAACUAUUGGAAACGAUAGCUAAUACCGCAUAACAGUAGAUAUCGCAUGAUAUCUACUUGAAAGGUGCAAUUGCAUCACUACCAGAUGGACCUGCGUUGUAUUAGCUAGUUGGUGAGGUAACGGCUCACCAAGGCGACGAUACAUAGCCGACCUGAGAGGGUGGUCGGGCAAACUGGGAAUGAGACACGGCCCAGGAUCCUACGGGAGGGAGCAGGAGGGAAUCUUCGGCAAAGGACGGAAGGCUGACCGAGGAACGCCGCGGGAGGGAAGAAGGUUUUCGGAUCGGAAAGCUCUGUUGUAAGGGAAGAAAGAGUGUGAGAGUGGAAAGUUCACACUGUGACGGUAUCUUAACAGAAAGGGACGGCUAACUACGUG
rnacentral:rRNA from 1 species